rnacentral:rRNA from 1 species
GAUGAACGCUGGCGGCGUGCCUAAUACAUGCAAGUCGAGCGAACAGACGCGGAGCUUGCUCCUUCGACGUUAGCGGAGGACGGGUGAGUCACACGUAGGUAACCUACCUAUAAGACUGGGAUAACUUCGGGAAACCGGAGAUAAUACCGGAUAAUAUUUCGAACCGCAUGGUUCGAUAGUGAAAGAUGGCUUUGCUAUCACUUAUCGAUGGACCUGCGCCGUAUUAGCUAGUUGGUAAGGUAACGGCUUUCCACGGCAACGAUACGUAGCCGACCUGAGAGGCGGGUCGGCCACACGAGAACUGAGACGCCCACCAUGCGCCUACGGGACGCAGCAGUAGCGAAUCGUCCGCAAUGGUCGGAAACCUGACGCAGUGAGCCGGCGCCUGUUGUGAAGGUCCUGCGAUCGGAAAACCGUGUUAUUAGUUAAGAACAAACGUGGAAGGAACUGUGCACGGCUUGACGGUACCUAGUCAGAAAGCCACGGCUAACUACGUG